rnacentral:rRNA from 1 species
GGGUCCGGACACACUGAGGAUUGACAGGCAAAAGAUACAAGUUUUCUUUGUGAGAGCUUGCAUUGUAAAAUAUGCGAGUCCUUUCAUGAUUAUGUGAUAGGUGGUGCAUGGCCGUUCUUAGUUCGUGGAGUGAUCUGUCUGCUUAAUUGCGUUUCACAACGAUUUAAAAUGCUAUGUUUUCUGUGUUUGCUGUUCGGUUUUGCUCUUACGGGAGUUUUAACUUUGAACGCACACGGCGUAGCUUAAAACAAUCGGAAAGCAACGAACGUGACCGCAACCUCUUGUUGCCUUUAUUUUUAAAAGCGUGGAAAAUUUUAUUUUCCUACGCUUGAAAAAGGCUUUAAAACUAGAGGGACCGCUGUUCUAUUCUCUUAAACCAGAGGAAGAUUGCGGCAAUAACAGGUCUGUGAUGCCCUCAGAUGUUCCGGGCUGCACACGUGCUACAAUGAUUGUUGCAGUGAGCAUCUAUUUUCAAACGCUACCGUUGCGGAUUUUGUGAGAAGGGGGAUUUGUUUUAAAGCUUUCGGGUGGAGAAGCAGGUUCUUUUUUUUCACAAUUUAUUCCGCGUUACGUGUCAGCUAAACCUGCUUCGAAAGCAAGUAGGU